rnacentral:rRNA from 1 species
AGUGAACGCUGGCGGUAGGCCUAACACAUGCAAGUCGAACGGCGGCACCGUAAGAGCUUGCUCUUACGGGUGGCGAGUGGCGGACGGGUGAGGAAUACAUCGGAAUCUACUUUUUCGUGGGGGAUAACGUAGGGAAACUUACGCUAAUACCGCAUACGACCUACGGGUGAAAGCAGGGGAUCUUCUGACCUUGCGCGAUUGAAUGAGCCGAUGUCGGAUUAGCUAGUUGGCGGGGUAAAGGCCCACCAAGGCGACGAUCCGUAGCUGGUCUGAGAGGAUGAUCAGCCACACUGGAAGUGAGACAGGGUCAAGACUCCUGCGAGAGGCAGCAGUGGGGAAUAUUGGACAAUGGGGGAAAGCGUGAUACAGCCAUACCGAGUGGGUGAAGAAGGCCUUCGGGUUGUAAAGACCUUUUGUUGGGAAAGAAAAGCAGCAGGUUAAUACCCCGCUGUUCUGACGGUACCCAAAGAAUAAGCACCGGCUAACUUCGUG